rnacentral:rRNA from 1 species
AUGACCUGUGGUUAGGGUGAAAGGCCAAUCAAACUCCGUGAUAGCUGGUUCUCCCGAAAUGCAUUUAGGUGCAGCGUCGUGUGUUUCUUGCCGGAGGUAGAGCACUGGAUAGGCGAUGGGCCACCGGGUUACUGACCUUAGCCAAACUCCGAAUGCCGGUAAGUGAGAGCGCGGCAGUGAGACUGUGGGGGAUAAGCUCCAUGGUCGAGAGGGAAACAGCCCAGAGCAUCGACUAAGGCCCCUAAGCGUACGCUAAGUGGGAAAGGAUGUGGAGUCGCAGAGACAACCAGGAGGUUGGCUUAGAAGCAGCCACCCUUGAAAGAGUGCGUAAUAGCUCACUGGUCAAGUGAUUCCGCGCCGACAAUGUAAGCGGGGCUCAAGCGUACCGCCGAAGUCGUGUCCAUUGCAGUACAUACCCCCAACGGGGACUGUGAUGGGUAGGGGAGCGUCGUGUGCCGGGUGAAGCAGCCGCGGAAGCGAGUUGUGGACGGUUCACGAGUGAGAAUGCAGGCAUGAGUAGCGAUACACACGUGAGAAACGUGUGCGCCGAUUGACUAAGGGUUCCUGGGUCAAGCUGAUCUGCCCAGGGUAAGUCGGGACCUAAGGCGAGGCCGACAGGCGUAGUCGAUGGACAACCGGUUGAUAUUCCGGUACCCGCUUUGAAACGCCCAAUAUCGAAUCAGGCGAUGCUAAGUCCGUGAAGCCCGCCCUGGAGUCUUCGGACAAAGGGGAGUGGUGGAGCCGACGAACCAGACUUGUAGUAGGUAAGCGAUGGGGUGACGCAGGAAGGUAGUCCAGCCCGGGCGGUGGUAGUCCCGGGGUAAGGGUGUAGGCCGUGUGAUAGGCAAAUCCGUCACACAUUAAGGCUGAGACCUGAUGCCGAGCCGAUUGUGGUGAAGUGGAUGAUCCUAUGCUGUCGAGAAAAGCCUCUAGCGAGUUUCAUGGCGGCCCCGUACCCUAAACCGACUCAGGUGGUCAGGUAGAGAAUACCGAGGCGUUCGGGUGAAACUAUGGUUAAGGAACUCCGGCAAAAUGCCCCCCGUAACUUCGGGAGAAGGGGGGCCCAUGUCUGGUGAGGGAACUUGCUUCCUGAGCUGGGUGUGGCCGCAGAGACCAGCGAGAAGCGACUGUUUACUAAAAACACAGGUCCGUGCGAAGCCGUAAGGCGAUGUAUACGGACUGACGCCUGCCCGGUGCUGGAACGUUAAGGGGACCGGUUAGCUCCAUUUCGGUGGGGCGAAGCUGAGAACUUAAGCGCCAGUAAACGGCGGUGGUAACUAUAACCAUCCUAAGGUAGCGAAAUUCCUUGUCGGGUAAGUUCCGACCUGCACGAAUGGGCGUAACGACUUCCUCGACUGUCUCAACCAUAGGCCCGGUGGAAAUUGCACUACGAGUAAAGAUGCCUCGUUUCGCGCAGCAGGACGGAAAGACCCCGGGACCUUUUUACUAUAGCUUGAUAUUGGUGUUCGGUUCGGCUUGUGUAGGAUAGGUGGGAGACUGUGAAGCAUGGCACGCCAGUGUGUGUGGAGUCGUCGUUGAAAUACCACUCUGGUCGUGCUGGAUGUCUAACCUGGGUCCGUGAUCCGGAUCAGGGGACAGUGUCUGGUGGGUAGUUUAACUGGGGCGGUUGCCUCCUAAAGGGUAACGGAGGCGCCCAAAGGUUCCCUCAGCCUGGUUGGCAAUCAGGUGUUGAGUGUAAGUGCACAAGGGAGCUUGACUGUGAGACCGACGGGUCGAGCAGGGACGAAAGUCGGGACUAGUGAUCCGGCGGUGGCUUGUGGGAAGCGCCGUCGCUCAACGGAUAAAAGGUACCCCGGGGAUAACAGGCUGAUCUUCCCCCAAGAGUCCAUAUCGACGGGAUGGUUUGGCACCUCGAUGUCGGCUCGUCGCAUCCUGGGGCUGGAGUCGGUCCCAAGGGUUGGGCUGUUCGCCCAUUAAAGCGGUACGCGAGCUGGGUUUAGAACGUCGUGAGACAGUUCGGUCCCUAUCCGCUGUGCGCGUAGGAGUCUUGAGAAGGGCUGUCCCUAGUACGAGAGGACCGGGACGGACGAACCUCUGGUGUGCCAGUUGUCCUGCCAAGGGCAUGGCUGGUUUGGCUACGUUCGGGAGGGAUAACCGCUGAAAGCAUCUAAGCGGGAAGCCUGCUUCGAGAUGAGGACCCACCCACUUGAUGGGGUAAGGCUCCCAGUAGACGACUGGGUUGAUAGGCCAGGUGUGGAAGACCGGUAACGGUUGGAGCUGACUGGUACUAAUAGGCCGAGGGCUUGUCCUCAGUUG